GCCGGACUGCCGGCCCCGUCUUCGCCCCGCUGCGCUCGGCUGCGUUUCAGCGCAGUCCCGGACGCUGACCCGGGGACAACAAACAGCGCUCCUUAUUAGAGAUGCGAACUCUCGGGGAAGAACCGAACCGCCUAGAAAAGCAAGCGCGCAGGCAUCGGAACAAGUGGCCAGACCUUCUGCACUGCCUGUGAAAGUGACCUGUAAAAUACCACGGAGGGCUUUGCUCUCAAAGCACCAGAUUUCAGAGUACAGGUUUUAUCAGAACGUGACGGUGGAAGCUGUUCUUAUUAUUUAUUUGGCUUUGCCUCUGGAGAUCGGGCGGUGUUGUUGCUCCCUGCCCGCGCGUGGGUGCAAAUCCCUCCCCAGCCAACUCUUAGAUGUCAAAGCCCCAUGGUGGGGGGGACAGACUUGUAGGUAUCUGCAUACUCUGAUACCGUUAUUUCGGGUCCUUCAAGAAUUAAAAACACGCCUCCCUUUUAGGGAGUGACAACUUGGACUUCAGUGGGCGAUGCGAUUUUAACAGGCGCAGCCAGGUGCAAAUGUUAUAUGCUUCUGCAUCAUGCAUUUCCUGAUUCUGAGCAAAGAUUUGAAAAAGGAAGAAUGCAGCUCUUUUGGACAGAGAAGCUUGCCUCUGCCCCCCAACAUUUUGCGGAAGGAGCAUUCUGCAGAAAAGCUGCAGGGUGCAGCUAUGGUUCCAUAAGUGUCCCAUCCCAUGUGCCGCAGGGGAGGAGCAGACCCCUCUGGAGAGGUGAGCCAGGCUGGGAGGAGCAGCACCAGCGAGAUACAGAUGGGCGCUGACUCUUGCCUCGGGGAGGGGAGACCUUGUGUAGGAGGCCAUUUGGGGGGCAGGGGAGUGCAGAAUUCAUAUGUUGGGGUGUUAUCCCCCAGCACCUCUGGAUGUGACUGUAUUUGAAGACAGGCCCUUUAAAGGGAUAACUAGGUUAGAGUGAGGCAGACUCAAGCUCAGGGUCCUUAUAAGAAAAGUUUAGGAGGCAGACAUGUCCAGAGGGGCGACCAUGUGAAGGGAGGCAGAGAAGGCAGCCAUUUACAAGCCAAGAGCAAAGCCUUGGAAGAAACCAGACUUCCUGAUAUGUUGUUCUCAGAUGAGAGCCUGCAGGAUUGUGAGAAAAUAACUUUCCUUCAUGUAAGCUACCCAGUUUGUGGCAUUUUGUUAUGGAAACUCCAACCAAUGAACGGAAGUUACUAUUUGGAACCAACCAAUUUUGGGGGGCCAUUUGAACACACAAAUCUUAGGUCACCAGGUUUUCUAGUUUAAGGAUUUUUUUUCUCCUUAACUAUUGCAGCAGAGCUAGCUAACUUCACCAGUGUGUCACACAUGGGAUCCCAUACUUCAAAGUGGCUUGUGUUUCUGGCCUCUCUCUCUCUCUCUGCUCUGUAACAGAGAGUGAAUCCAGGAGUCCCCAAGCAACUAACAUUCCCAGACCAUUUUUUAAACUUAUUUUUGAGUCAGGGCUUACAGAGCUGAACAGUCUGGCCUGAAAGUUGUGAUUCUCUUGUCUCAGCUUUCUACAAAACUGAGAUUACAGGUUUGUUUUAAUACUCUACUAUUAUCUCGACUUUUUUUUUUUUUUUUUUUUUUUUUUUUUUUUUUUUUUUUGUACCAAGGAUCAAACUCAGGUCCAUGUGCAGCGGAACCACUGAGCUAAAUCUGCAGCCCUUGACAUUCUUAAAUUUUCAAAAAGGGACUUGCUCUUUCAUGUUGCGCUGAUUGCCAAUAACAAAACCAGCCCUGGUUGACCAAGAACAUAAAAUUUAAAUAUGGUGUUAUGAUUUGUAUCUAAAUGUCCCCCAAAGCCUUGUGCACUUAGAGGCAGAGAUUUUGGAAGAUGACUGGAUUAUGGGGUGAUGUAGCUGACUUGCUGUUAGGAAGUGGCUCUGGUCAGAAGGGGCAGUCCCUAAAAGCACAACCUGGAACGGUGCAUCUCCCUCCUGUACCCCUUUUUUCUCUCUCUGUUUCCUGUCCACCAAGGAGUGGCAUCUUUCCUUCAUCCAGGCCCUUCCACCAUGCCAG
rnacentral:lncRNA from 1 species